AUUGAACGCUGGCGGCAUGCCUUACACAUGCAAGUCGAACGGCAGCGGGGGUAGCUUGCUACCUGCCGGCGAGUGGCGAACGGGUGAGUAAUACAUCGGAACGUGCCCUGUAGUGGGGGAUAACUAGUCGAAAGACUAGCUAAUACCGCAUACGACCUGAGGGUGAAAGUGGGGGACCGCAAGGCCUCAUGCUAUAGGAGCGGCCGAUGUCUGAUUAGCUAGUUGGUGGGGUAAAGGCCCACCAAGGCGCCGAUCAGUAGCUGGUCUGAGAGGACGAUCAGCCACGCUGGGACUGAGACACGGCCCAGACUCCUACGGGAGGCAGCAGUGGGGAAUUUUGGACAAUGGGGGCAACCCUGAUCCAGCAAUGCCGCGUGUGUGAAGAAGGCCUUCGGGUUGUAAAGCACUUUUGUCCGGAAAGAAAUCGCACUGGUUAAUACCUGGUGUGGAUGACGGUACCGGAAGAAUAAGGACCGGCUAACUACGUGCCAGCCGCCGCCGUAA
rnacentral:rRNA from 1 species